rnacentral:rRNA from 1 species
CAGGCCUAACACAUGCAAGUCGAGCGGUAGAGAGAAGCUUGCUUCUCUUGAGAGCGGCGGACGGGUGAGUAAUGCCUAGGAAUCUGCCUGGUAGUGGGGGAUAACGUUCGGAAACGGACGCUAAUACCGCAUACGUCCUACGGGAGAAAGCAGGGGACCUUCGGGCCUUGCGCUAUCAGAUGAGCCUAGGUCGGAUUAGCUAGUUGGUGAGGUAAUGGCUCACCAAGGCGACGAUCCGUAACUGGUCUGAGAGGAUGAUCAGUCACACUGGAACUGAGACACGGUCCAGACUCCUACGGGAGGCAGCAGUGGGGAAUAUUGGACAAUGGGCGAAAGCCUGAUCCAGCCAUGCCGCGUGUGUGAAGAAGGUCUUCGGAUUGUAAAGCACUUUAAGUUGGGAGGAAGGGCAGUUACCUAAUACGUGAUUGUUUUGACGUUACCGACAGAAUAAGCACCGGCUAACUCUGUGCCAGCAGCCGCGGUAAUACAGAGGGUGCAAGCGUUAAUCGGAAUUACUGGGCGUAAAGCGCGCGUAGGUGGUUAGUUAAGUUGGAUGUGAAAUCCCCGGGCUCAACCUGGGAACUGCAUUCAAAACUGACUGACUAGAGUAUGGUAGAGGGUGGUGGAAUUUCCUGUGUAGCGGUGAAAUGCGUAGAUAUAGGAAGGAACACCAGUGGCGAAGGCGACCACCUGGACUGA